UACGUAGGUGGCAAGCGUUGUCCGGAUUUACUGGGCGUAAAGGAUGCGUAGGCGGUUAUUUAAGUCAGAUGUGAAAUACCCGGGCUCAACUUGGGUGCUGCAUUUGAAACUGGAUAUCUAGAGUGCGGGAGAGGUAAGUGGAAUUCCUAGUGUAGCGGUGAAAUGCGUAGAGAUUAGGAAGAACACCAGUGGCGAAGGCGACUUGCUGGACCGUAACUGACGCUGAGGCAUGAAAGCGUGGGGAGCAAACAGG
rnacentral:rRNA from 1 species